UUCCCUGUUUCCUCCUGACAGCCUGCGCUGGGACACAGCUUGAGUUUGCCUUAACUCAGGGCGCUGAACUCAACCAUGAAGGCACCGAAGAUCCUCGUGCUGGCCAUCCUGGCUCUUUGCUGCAUCUCCGUUGCUGGUGCUGUCUCCAGAGAGGAAGCUAUCGCAGCUCUGCUGGACAUAUUUGCUGGAAUAAAGCGUUGUUCCCGGGACACCUUUGGGGGAAUAGCAGCAGGGAUGCGGGCUCUGGAAAACCAACACGUUAUGGCCAAGAAGCAAUGAAAAGUGAUUUGCAGAGCCAGAAAGAGCUGCAGCUCCAUCAGCCACACUGUCCCCCGACGUGACUGAGGGCUGGUGGGCACUGCUGCCAUGGGGGAUGCUGUCACAUUCCUGGGGUAAUAAACUACCAGAACUGCA